GGUCAUCAUAGCCUUCAUUAUUAUGUAUAUUCAUUAGCACCGUUGUAAUUCACAAUAACAUGAUCCUUCUAAUGUUGUAUUCUUUCUUAAGUGCAGUUAAGAAGAUACGAGGAUUUCCGGGUGGGAAAGUGACUGAAGUACCAGUGUCAGAAAACAGUGACCACAAUUUACUCCAAUGAAUAAAAGAUGUAAUGUGACAGAAGUGCUCUUGUCAGCCACUAGGAUCAGCAAUGUGAAAACAACAAUUCCGAACUUUGUAUUUGUAAGUAGAUUUGAAAUUUAUUUGACCAAACAAACUAGAAGAGAAUAAAUGGUGAUAAAUAUGUGAUAAGCUUCACUUGCCAAUGCUGAAAACUCUUACUUUCUUUUCAAACAGAUGCCAAUGGCAUUGAAG
rnacentral:lncRNA from 1 species